rnacentral:lncRNA from 1 species
UCAUCUCUUGCAUCUGUCACAUUGCAUAAAAGCCAAACCACUAUUCGAGUAGCUAGCUAGUCUUCCAGUGUACUGUAAAAGCUUGGAGAUUCCGUGAGAGUUUGUGCAAGUUGCAAGAUGGUUAAGGUAUGUUCAGUUUGGUUGUCCUGUUCCAGUCCAGGACUGGUGCUCAGUUUGCUCAAUUUUGUGCGUCGUUGUGAAAAAAGAAUUCAUGUUUUGUUGCAGCAAAAGAUUGCCCUCAGUUUGCUCAAUUUUGUGCGUCGUUGUGAAAAAACAAUUCAUGUUUUGUUGCAGCAAAAGAUUGCCCUCAAGUUGGCUUUGGAUGAUGAGAGGGAGAGGAGGAAGGCCUUCAAGGCUGCCGUUGGCAUGUCAGGUAUGAUAUGAACAAGCCACAGAUUUAUUAACAUUUAAUCAGUUAAUCCAUAAUCCGUAGUUCCAUCUUUUUCUUGUUCUUACGAGGAGGUGCUCAAUUCUANNN